UGCCAAGAUGUUUGUAUCCCCAUUGCCGCCAGAAUUCAUAUGUUGAAAUCUUAACCCCCAAAGGUGAGGGAAUUAGGAGAUGAGGCCUUUGGGAGGGAUGAGGUCAUAAGAUGGCGCCCUCAUGGAAGUGGCCCCACAGAGCCCCUUGCAGCCCGUGAGGACACAGUGAGAAGGCUCCAGCUAUGAACCAGGAGAGGACCUUCGCCAGAACGCGACCAUGUUGGCUUCUUGAUCUUGCGUUUCCCAGCCUCCAGAACUAUGAGCUCUUCUAGGAGAUGAAUUGACUUAAUCAGACUUAGCUGAUACCAAGGUCCUUGGCAUGACUUAAUGGCUCAUUGUGGAUUCUGGGAGAAGACCGAGUGCCUACAAAUGAAGGUAUUGGGAGGGCUUGUGUCCAACAGAAUGGAGCUAAGUGUUUCUGUGGGGUUGUACAAGAAUGUAAACUCUGUUAUGAAGGACUAACCAAGGUAUUGGAAUAAAGUUGAAGCCAUUUAU